GAGGGUGUAGCUCAGUGGUAGAGCGCACGCUCAGCGCCCACCAGGUCUGGGUUCAAUCCCCAGCACCUCCU
rnacentral:tRNA from 1 species